rnacentral:lncRNA from 1 species
AAGUCCUGAACCACAUUAUACCCCCAGUAAUAGGUUUUACCCUCCUCUCAUUUAAUCUCACUGCCUUGGAAGCCAAACCCAGCAGCCAGGGAUUAUUUUACACCCUAAGGACUAACCCUGGGAGAUAAGACAGAUGGGUCCUAGCCCAAACUCUCCCACUAACCAACAGGGAGACCCAGAUCUCGCUGAGGAGGAUGUGAGUCAUUGAGCGUCUCUGAUCCUCAGUUGCCCCAUCUGUGGAGCAAAGGAUUGGGACUAAUUUGCUGCUGGGACUAGUCCAAGACUCUAGAAGACCCUCACAAAAAUAGGUUCAUCUUACUGUCUACCUUCUUCUGAUGCUAAACUCAUCUUUACAAGCACCAAACAGGUUGAAUUUAGAAACUGAAAAAAAUAGACAAGCUUGCAAGAGCUCAGGAAGUUGUUUGGGAAGGCCCUGUGGGACAGGUGUGGAGUGACAGUUCUCCAUGUGAUGUUCUUUUGCUCUAAAUACUGACUGCUCUUCCUAUCCACGGUGUCUUACCAACCAGACACAGCCGUUUCCAGGACUGACUUUCAUCUCCCUCCAACAAGACCUCCUCAAUCCGGUUUAGGAAUCCCAGGAUUUGAGUGGCAAGGAUACAGUUCAUGGGCCUGGUUUCAGGUUAUUAGCACUGAUGGAGGAAGGGCCUGGGCAGAACUUUCACGAUCACUUGUCAUCUCAUGAAUAAAUAUUUAUUAACUUGCAUGUGCUAUUAAAUAGGUUGAGGCCCUGCAUUGUAUGCAGGUAGUUAAUCCUUUGCAGGACUUAAAUAAUGACAGGGAAACAGGGAGAAUGAAAGAGAAAACAUCUGUAAUGGUGGGGAGGGUGAAUGUCUUAUAUUGAUUUCCAUUACCUGUUGAUACCCCCUCCCCAUAAACACAAAAUGUAAUUUUUCCAAAUUUAAAAGAAGUAAUAGCCUACUGUGGGCAGUGCAGAAACUACUCAGAAAUUGGCACUGUCUUUGACAAUUGCCUGGCCUUUGUUGGAGGAACUACUGAUUAGUACCUACUUGGAAAAUGAGGAAAGUGGAGCCAUACAUGUGCUAUUUCUUUAAAUAUCCUGGCAAGAAGCUGUGUGUUAAAGGAAAAGAAUCAGCAGCAAAGAUGGCCCCAUCUGUAUAGAGGUGUUGGUCUGUAAAGUUCUAGUUUCUUCUGGGGCCUUCU